rnacentral:rRNA from 1 species
GACGAACGCUGGCGGCAUGCCUAAUACAUGCAAGUCGAGCGAACGGAUGAAGUGCUUGCACUUCUGACGUUAGCGGCGAACGGGUGAGUAACACGUAAGGAAUCUACCUAUAAGCGGGGGAUAACAUUCGGAAACGGGUGCUAAUACCGCAUAAUAUCUUCUUCCGCAUGGAAGAAGAUUGAAAGACGGCUCUGCUGUCACUUAUAGAUGACCUUGCGGUGCAUUAGUUAGUUGGUGGGGUAAUGGCCUACCAAGACGAUGAUGCAUAGCCGACCUGAGAGGGUGAUCGGCCACAUUGGGACUGGGACACGGCCCAAACUCCUACGGGAGGCAGCAGUAGGGAAUCUUCCGCAAUGGGCGAAAGCCUAACGGAGCAAUGCCGCGUGAGUGAAGAAGGCCUUCGGGUCGUAAAACUCUGUUAUAAGAGAAGAACAAAUUGUAGAGUAACUGCUACAGUCUUGACGGUAUCUUAUCAGAAAGCCACGGCUAACUACGUGCCAGCAGCCGCCGUAA